UGAGGGAGGAGGGGAAAAGGAGGGAACAAACAAGAGUCUUCCUGUUUAUCAACAUGAUACCCACCUUCUUGGGCCAAAGACUGCAAAAGGAUAGCCAGAAAGAGGAGGAAGAUAUGAAGCAUCUCCAUGAUCCAAAAUGGAUCUCCGAUGUCUUUGGUUGGAAACGUCCUUCCUGGAUGCACUGAAUCUCCAGAUGUGAGCCAGCGAAAACCUUUUCCUGACAUUUAUAUUCACCCUUGGAGGGAUAAACAAGGGAUUUUCAGCCAGUCCACUCCCAGAGAAAUAAUCCUUAAAGUAGAUUAGUAGUAUCAAGAGUUGUAUCAUCUACCUGUUGAUCUGUUAAAGCGCAAAAGUGAUCCUUCUGAAUUGAGGGACUUCCUAGGUUGAUUUUAAUGAAUAAAGAAUACGAAGGUAAAGGGACAUUGUCUGAAAAACUCAAUAUAUCCACUUCAAAGACAAAAAUAAAGAACGGGUAACUUUCCGUUCUAAAAAGCUGUAGUUGGAAGUAGCUCAUGGUUUUAUGCCGUAAUGCUAUACUACGCAUCUGAGAGUAAGCUCCGCUGAACUACUUCUAAGUAGACAUGUUUGGGAGCCCUCUAUUAACUUGCAGAAGUUGAAUUUUAUUUGUUUUAAAAACCCCAUUUUAAGAGGAACCUUGGCUUCUUGGGCUCUUUUAGUCCGCUAGCAAUUGAAGAAAUGAUAUGAUCCGUCAUCUGUAUGAGAGAAAUGGUUUUGCCAAGAUCUGUGCACAAAUGGCUACAGUUAGAAUAGACUAUGGAUACGGGGAUUGUCUUACAUACGUUGGCUAGAUGGAUUUAAAAAACGCAAGUUUAAUAGUUGUGUAGUACAAGGAAUUUCAACAAACAUCACUUUAUGGGCAAGUUACACCUGCUGGAAUUCCCUCUUCUAGACCAUUAUUUAAGGCAUAGGGGUUUUGUUCUCUUUUCCAUGUGGACACCUUACUACUAGGGCAAGCAGUAUCACCUUUUUCAUGUAGACACCUUACUAACUGUCUAGAAGAGGGAAUUCCAGCAGGUGUAACUUGCCCAUAAAGACCUUUGCUGGAAUUCCUUCUUCUACUCAACCAUUAAAGCUGUGUUUUUAAUCCAUCUGGCCAACAUACCUGUAACAAGCCCCAUGUCCAUAGUCUAUCCUAACUGUUGUGUUUUAUCUAACACGGUGAGCCGGCUUGAUCCUACGGGAAAGGUGGCAUAUAAAUAAAACAUUAUUAUUAUUAUUA